rnacentral:rRNA from 5 species
UUGACCUCGGAUCAGGUAGGAAUACCCGCUGAACUUAAGCAUAUCAUAA